rnacentral:lncRNA from 1 species
AGUGUGGUAGAACCAUACAAUAUGGAAUAUUAACUAUAAAAAGAUAAAACCAACAAGCCAUAAAAAGACAGGAAAUUUACAUGUAUUGUCAAGGGAAAGAAGACAGUCUCCAAAGACUACCUUGGGAUACAUUCCUAAAACAGAGUUAUUUGGUGAAAAAAAUGGAAUACGCAUUUAGGAUUUUUUGUUAUGAAAUGCUCAUAUAAAUGAUAUGCCAGUUUAAUUCAAAUGAAAGAUUCUAAAACUAUAGAGGUUGCAAAAAGAUCAGUAGUUUCCAGAAUUUGGGGAGUAGAGGGCAAUGAAACUGUUCUGUUUGGUAUCAGACGGAUGGAUUAAUAUGUCAGAACAACGGAUGUACAUUUUAAGUCAGCCAGUGUACAGCACAAAUGAUCCUAAUGUAAACUAUGAUCUUUAGAUAGUGAUAAUUAAUAGCUUGUCUGUUUUAAUAAAUGCAUGCUACAUAAGCUAUUAAUAACAGGGAAUGUGGGGGUAAGGAAGUGGAACUACUUUCCAUUCAAUUUUUCUGUAAAUCUAAGGAUGAAAAUUUUCAAAAAGAUGUAUGAGCAUGAUAAGUUCAUAUUUUAAAACAGCAAUUUACUUUAUUAAAAUAACAUAAUUACAUAACAAAAUGUUUACUGAUGUGUGUGUAUGUGCAUGUGCGCACACAUCCCCACACCCCACUAGACCACUGAAGCCAGGGUCACUGAGUUACACCCCAACCCUUCCCCUUCAAUUUUCUCAUUCCAAAGACAUUUUUGUUGCUGGGUUUUAAAAUAUAUAUAUUGUUACUAAUUUUUAUUAGUUUUUACAUGUAUGGGUCUUUGUCUUCAUGCGCUUGCCCGGUGCCCACAGAGUCCAGCGAGGACAUCAGAUCCCUUGGCGAUGGAAUUACAGGUGGCUGUUUGGUUUUGCCUUGUGACCCACCACCCUUAACCAGGGCCACUCACAUGGGCAUGGGUAUGGGUGUGAAGUUUUCCACCAGAAUAUGGGUAAUGUAAGACAGUAGCUUCCUCUUUCCCAACAGUCCUCUAUGACCAUUAGCUCCUUGAGGUGGAGCCCCAUGGGUCCCUUCUCCCUCUGUGACUGUGUGCGGGCUGUUUGUAUAUAAGCCCUGUGUGUGCACGGGCAGCUGUUGUGAGUUCAUGUGUACCACAGCCAUGCCAUGCCAUGCCCAUAAGGUAGCUUUUCAUAGGCUGCCUUCUUGUGAAAGCUCUUACAGUUUUCAUCCCAGAACUCUUCUGUUUUUUAGUUAUUUAUUGCUUUGUGGCAAAGUAUACAUAAUAUAAAAUUUAGCAUCUUAAUUUUUAAUUAUUUUCAACUCAAACUGAAAUUCUUUUUUUGAGCAAUAAUUAUGUCUCCAACAACAAAU